rnacentral:rRNA from 1 species
UAGGGAAUAUUGGACAAUGGGUGCGAGCCUGAUCCAGCCAUGCCGCGUGCAGGAAGACGGCCUCUGGGUUGUAAACUGCUUUUAUUUGGGGAUAGGUACCAGAUGAAUAAGCCACGGCUAACUACGUGCCAGCAGCCGCGGUAAUACGUAGGUGGCAAGCGUUGUCCGGAUUUAUUGGGUUUAAAGGGUGCGUAGGCGGCGAUUUAAGUCAGUGGUGAAAUACGGCAGCUCAACUGUCGAGGUGCCAUUGAUACUGGAUUGCUUGAGUACUGAUGAGGUAGGCGGAAUGGACGGUGUAGCGGUGAAAUGCAUAGAUAUCGAUCGGAACGCCGAAGGUGUAGACGGGCAGCUGGGCCAGUGUUGACGCUGAGGCACGAAAGCGUGGGGAUCAAACAGGAUUAGAUACCCGGGUAGU